rnacentral:rRNA from 1 species
GAUGAACGCUGGCGGCGUGCCUAAUACAUGCAAGUCGAGCGAACAGACGAGGAGCUUGCUCCUCUGACGUUAGCGGCGGACGGGUGAGUAACACGUGGAUAACCUACCUAUAAGACUGGGAUAACUUCGGGAAACCGGAGCUAAUACCGGAUAAUAUAUUGAACCGCAUGGUUCAAUAGUGAAAGACGGUUUUGCUGUCACUUAUAGAUGGAUCCGCGCCGCAUUAGCUAGUUGGUAAGGUAACGGCUUACCAAGGCAACGAUGCGUAGCCGACCUGAGAGGGUGAUCGGCCACACGGGAACUGAGACAGGGUCCGGACUCGUACGGGAGGCAGCGGUAGGGAAUCUUCCGCAAUGGGCGAAAGCCUGACGGAGCAACGCCGCGUGAGUGAUGAAGGUCUUCGGAUCGUAAAACUCUGUUAUUAGGGAAGAACAAAUGUGUAAGUAACUAUGCACGUCUUGACGGUACCUAAUCAGAAAGCCACGGCUAACUACGUG